rnacentral:rRNA from 1 species
CCCUUAGAUGUUCUGGGCCGCACGCGCGCUACACUGAUGCAUUCAACGAGUCUAAAACCUGGUCUGAUAGGGCUGGGUAAUCUUUUGAAUGUGCAUCGUGAUUGGGAUAGAUGAUUGCAAUUCUUCAUCUUCAACGAGGAAUGCCUAGUGAACGCAAGUCAUCAGCUUGCAUUGAUUACGUCCCUGCCCUUUGUACACACCGCCCGUCGCUCCUACCGAUUGAAUGUUCCGAUGAAUACCAUGGACUGAGAGUAUGAAUGGGUUCGCCUAUUUCUGCUUCUCGGGAAGUGGAGUAAAUCUUAACAUUUAGAGGAAGGAGAAGUCGUAACA